ACUUCACGAGAAAGGAAAAUAUACUCAUGACAGGGUUGAACUGAUUCCUCAUCUUACACAUUGAUGGCAGGAAAGAAACACCUUAGUCUGAAAACUGAAACUGGAGCAACCUGAGAGUCUUGGCGUGCUCUUCGAUCUACUGUUCUCUCCCUACCAUCUGUUAUACUGAGAAAUGGAUCUCGUCCAAAAGGAUCAGAAAAGCUUCUCAUCAUCUGCCGCAUAUAUUCAUGGUGUGCA